GCAGUUGUCAUUUAUCAGUGAUACACGAUGAACGAUGUUCAAAGGCUGAGUGUCACUUGGACUAAUUGCCACACACGCACACUCACAACUCUUUUCAUCCAAUUCUUCUUUUUCUCACAUUUAU
ensembl:ncRNA C26E1.5 ncRNA